UACGUAGGAGGCAAGCGUUGUCCGGAAUUACUGGGCGUAAAGCGCGUGUAGGUGGUGGGACAAGUCUGCUGUGAAAGCGCCUGGCUUAACCGGGCGAGGUCGGCGGAAACUGUCACACUUGAGGACGGUAGAGGGGGGUGGAAUUCCCGGUGUAGUGGUGAAAUGCGUAGAGAUCGGGAGGAACACCUGUGGCGAAGGCGGCCCCCUGGGCCGGCCCUGACACUGAGACGCGAAGGCGUGGGGAGCGAACGGG
rnacentral:rRNA from 1 species